UGUAUUUAUCUGGUCGUUUAUGUUGACGAUAUUGUUAUUAACGGCAAUAAUUAGGAUGGUAUUAGUAAGUUGAAGCAACAUCUCUUUCAGCACUUUCAGACUAAGGAUCUGGGCAGAUUAAAGUAUUUUUUGGGUAUUGAGGUAACUCAGUCUAGCUCGGGUAUUGUGAUCUCACAACGGAAGUAUGCCUUAGAUAUUUUUGAGGAGACAGGAAUGACAGGUUGUAGACCUGUUGACACUCCGAUGGAUUCGAAUUCUAAACUUCUGCCAGGACAGGAGGAGCCUCUUAGCGAUCUUGCAAGAUAUAGGCGGUUGCUUGGUAAAUUAAAUUACCUCACAGUGACUAGACCUGACAUUUCCUUUCAUGUGAGUAUUGUGAGUCAGUUUAUAGAUUCUCCAUGUGAUAGUCAUUGGGAUGCAGUUAUCCGCAUUCUUCGGUAUAUAAAAUCAGCUUUAGGCAAAGGCUUAUUGUUUGAGGAUCGAGGCCAUGAGCAGAUCAUUGGAUACUCAGAUGCUAAUUGGGCAGGAUCACCUUCUGAUACAGGUUCUAUGCCUGGAUAUUGUGUCUUAGUAGGAGGAAAUUUGGUGUCUUGGAAGAGCAAGAAACAGAAUGUGGUUGUUUGGUCUAGUGCAGAAGCAGAAUAUCGAGCAAUGAUUAUGGCCACAUGUGAGCUAAUUUAGAUAAAACAGUUGCUCAAGGAGUUGAAAUUUGGUGAGAUUAGUCAGAUGGGACUUGUGUGUGAUAAUCAAGCUGCUCUUCAUAUUGCAUCAAAUCCAGUGUUUGAGAUUGACUGUCACUUUGUUAGAGAAAAUAUACUCUCGGUAGAUAUUGCUACAAAAUAUUUGAAGUCGAAUGAUCAGCUUGCUGAUAUUUUCACCAAGUCCCUCACUGGUCCUCAUAUUAGUUAUAUAUGUAACAAGCUCGGUACAUAUGAUUUAUUUGCACCAGCCUGAGGGGGAGUGUUAGCUUGAUAGUUAAAUAGUAGUAAAUAACCCUAAUCUCAUGUGUAUUAGGAGUUGGACAUGUAUUAUAUAUAGGGCUCAUUGUAUCAUUGUUAAUAUUAAUCAAGAAUAUUUUUUCUCACAAAUAAUAAUACUAAUAAUUGCAAUUUACAUAUAAGAUUGAUGUCAGAUUCGGCUUGGAUGCAACAUUGAUAAGACAAAUCUACAUAACCUUUUCAUUACUAGCCUGAUGAAAAUACAAAUGACGACGAUUUGUUUUCUAGAGACUGAACCAAAAUUCUCUUUGAUUGCUCUCAGAUUCACAAUACAUGUUUAUUCCCUAGUAAGAUUACAUAAGGCGAAUUCGAAAUAGUCGUCUCAUUAGACUUCAAAUAACGGAUGGUUAAACAAAAAAAGUAAAAGGUUAAAUGCCAGAAAGGAACGAAAUAUUCUUUUAAUAAAUAAAGAUUCUUUUAAUAAAUAAAGAACAACGUUCUAACAUUGAUAGUCAUUCGUAAGUCAAGUAUAUGUUUGAAUCAGAGUUACAUCAAAAGGGAAUUGAUCAAGUACAAUUAUAAACGCAGGUGCAAAUGUAUUGGCCAAUAGUGGCACCAGAACUUGAGCAAAGUCCAUUCCCGUUGUAUUUCUGAAAGCAUUCCAUUCCCGUUCAAUACAGUUCUUCUCUCUAACAUGAAAGAGAUAGAAGAAAGGGUAACACAGUAUUUCAUAUUAAUUUUAAUAGACUAGUGGCUACUAUUUCUAAGCAUUGAAAAUGCUGGAUAAAAAGUAAAUAUCACUUUAAAAUGUGGCUACCCCAUACAAUUUUUAAAACAGAAGAACCCAAGUAUAUCUCGACGUAAAGCAGCAUUCGAGCUUUUAGCUUUACAACAACUGUAUGGGCCAUAACCUUUAGGCCAUCAAUGGCAAUUUGGAAGUCAAGAAGUGCACAAAUUGUCAUUCUUAGGGAUGCUAUUUAGAAAUUAGUCAGUAUUUAUUUUGUUCUGAAAUUCUAAACUAAAAAUCUUAACUUCAGGAUACCUCAGGAUAUUUUUGUCCCAAAAAAUUAAAAUUCAGGAUGCAAUGGUUAAUUCCUAAAUAGCAGCCAUUUAGAGUAGCUACCUAAUUUUAUUUCUACAUAAUAUAUCUGGACACAUUUAUAAGGACCAACUAAAUGGUGCAACAAGUUUUAUCCCAGAGAUCAUUUUUAGGCCCAUCAAUAUGUGAUUCUCAAUGUGUUGAUAACUCAUCACUCAUAAGUUGAUUAUUUUUCUUUUACAACGAAUAAGUUAGUAAAGAAAAAUUUACCUCGGAAAUUAUAUUGAGAAAAAUCAAGUUAAUAUAUUGAAUUAAUUAUGUGUUGAUGUGUCAUGACAGGUGGAUCAGUAAAAGAAUGACAGUUAACGAAGAAUAUAUAGUUGAAGAGGCACGAGCUUUAACAGGCACGGGCAAAGAUCCAAGAAAACCAGAAGAAAUGGGUGCUCGAACCUCUUGAUAAUUUGAAGAAGCAUCGGAAGAAUGAACCUAAAUAGAAAAAGUGUAUAGAUAUGUAUUAUUAGUAAUUAAUGAGCAUUAAUUACGGAAAACGUUAUAGAAUCUGUACUGAAACAGUUACGAUUGCCAAUUAUAACGUUACAUUGAAUGUCAUUAGUUGUCCAUAAUAACUCCAUUAUGGAAGGAGAGAAACAUAUUACUUAGAAAUAGCUAUAAAAUGUGAGGAAUGAACAUUUGUAAGGACACGAAAUACUAUAGGAAUAUACUGAUUUACUCUGCUUUUUAUUCAGCUAUUAUUUACAUAAAUUAUUCCUAUUUAUAUUUGAUUAUCAGUAACCCGAGUUCUUCUAAAAAUAAGCUUUGACCGAAACUCCUAUUUUUGGUUAAACAGAUUGGUUCUGUUACCGGGAAUCUGAUAAUCUAUUACUUUCCAAAUUGAAUUUUUUGUCAAAUUAUUCAUGUCAAAUGUCAAUGACAACAACCAAGGAGACCAUCAAUUCCAGGAGAAUCAGCAAGGCGAGGGAACCCCGGCUCCUUCCCCACGAAAUUCUCCUCGACAAUCUCGAGAAGGAACUCCUAAUGGAUCUCAAUCAAAUGCGAACGAUCAAUUUGAAAAUGAUGAGGCAAUUAACGAAGCUUUGAAAAAGUUCAUUGCUCAACAGGUUAGCAAUGCUCUUGAGGCUUUCGCUAACCAGUUGCCAACUGUGCCGCCAACAUCAAUUCCAAAAAACAAUCUUCGAUCAAGACUCGUUAAUUCGGGCGUUGGAGGAACUCCUAGCAAAUCUCGUGACGGAGGGUCAGGUAACCCAAUUAAUUCUAAUUUACAAAAUUUAGUACUAAGAUUGCAUAAACAACUCAAGGAGCAGAGCGACCACAUAGAGCAAAUAUCUGGAGUACCGCCUGUAAUCAAAGGAAUAGAUAUGGACAAAUAUUCACAACAAUCUUGGAAGCCAAGCGCUGCUCCCCUACCAAUUCCAAAAAAAAUCAAGAUGCCCGAUAUUCCGAAAUAUGAUAGAACGACUGAUCCACGCGAUCACGUGACUGCAUUCACAACCGGUGUAAAAGGCAACGACUUGACCAAGCAAGAGAUUGAAUCAAUAUUGGUCAAAAAAUUUAGAGAAACACUUACUAAAGGAGCAUUAGCAUGGUAUUCUCUUUUACCCAGAAAUUCUAUAGAUUCUUUUGCUGAACUUACAGAUUCAUUCAUCAAAGAGCACUCGAGAGCUCAAAAAGUUUAGAAAAAAAUGGAGGACAUUUUCAAAAUAAAGCAAGGAGAUACGGAGCUACUCAAGGAAUUCAUAGACAAGUUCCAACGGGAAAGGAUGAUGGUGCCACGUGUACCAGAUAACUGGGCAGCUAUGGCGUUUGCCAGCAAUCUAAAUGAAAAAAGUUCAGAAACCACGAGGAGACUCAAGGAAAGUUUAUGAGAAUUUCUUGCUACAACUUAGAAUGAUGUUUACAAUAGAUAUAGCACGAAGCUGUGGAUAGAAGAAGAUACCAUCAUUCAAUCUCGAAGGGAUGAAAAGGUAAGUUCAAGACGAACUGAAACUGAAAAAAGGUCCGGUAAAAACAGGUACGAGCCUUACAUGGGACCAGCAGGAAGAGACACACAUUUAAAAUAGGAAACCCAAGGUACGAUCAUAGAUUAAGAGAUAGGGAAUUAGGUUCAUCAUCAAGGUUCGGAAAAGAACGAAAAACGUGAGAAACGCGUGAUUUUGACAGAAGUGCGAAGGUAAAGAUUGGCAGUUUAAUGUUAGCACAUUCGAAUUGGUGGCUGUUUUAAGGAAUAUGGGCGACAAGGUACGAUGGCCAAGAGGAAUGAGAUCAAAUCCGAACAAGCGUAAUCCUGAUUUUUGGUACGAGUUUCACCACGAUCACGACCACAAAAUGGUGGAUUGUAGAUUACUGCAAGGUGAAGUAGAACAUUUAUUGAAAUAAGGGUAUUUAACUGAACUAUUUAGUGAAAGGGGAAAAUAGGCAUAUAUGAAAAAUAGGUAGGAGACUCCAAAACCCCCUUCACCAAAAAGAACGGUUAAUGUCAUAAGUGGAGGAGAGGAGAUCUAUGGCGUAACAACAACGAGGAAGGUGUCAAAAAUAACCAUUACACAUGGGAAGUGAGUUCGGCAAAUUUUGGAAGAAGAUAAUAUUACCUUCGAUGAUGUAAACGCGAAUGGCGUGCUAACCCCACAUAAUGAUGCACUGGUAAUAUCUUUACUUGUACAUGACACUAAUGUGAAAUGAGUUUUGAUUGAUCCAGGUAGUUCUGUAAAUAUCAUUCUAUUUAAGAGUGGUAAAUGAAAUGCAAGCUGAUGAUAAGUUGAAAACCAAGGCUCAUACAUUGUUUGGUUUUGACAACUCGAGUGUCGUAACAAAAGGUAAGAUAGAACUCACCACAUUCGCUGAAGGAGUAGUCAAAGCCACCAAAUUCCAGGUGGUAGAAAUGGAUAUGGCCUAUAACAUGAUUCUUGGUAGACCAUGGAUUCAUGAAAUAGAAGUUGUUCCAUCGACUUUGCAUCAAGUUAUUAAAUUCCCUUCGCAAUGGGGAAUACGACAAAUAUGUGGUGACAAGCAAGCAUUUAGGAGCAUUAAUUCUGUAGCAGAUUCGAAUGCAAAAAAUGAAUAGAAAUAGCAAUCACAGAAACCAGUUGAGGAUGCUGCAACACAAGCCUCAACUGAGCACGAGCGAACAGAUGUAGACUCGAUGCCCGAUACUAUCCAAGAGCCAGAGGAAAAUGAAAAUAUCAAAACAACGAUUGAGGAAUUGGAAGCUGUAGUACUAUUUGCACCCUGGCCUGAAAGGAAAGUCUACAUUGGGGCCAACCUGAGCCAAGAAAUGAAAGGUAAGUUGACUGAAUUUUUGAAAACUAACGGGGAUUGUUUUUCCUGGUCCCAUUCUGAUAUGACAGGAAUACCUCCGGAGGUGCUGACCCACAAAAUUAAAUGAGAUCCAUCAUACCCACCUAUCAAAUAAAAGAAAAGAAAGCAAGGAUCUUUCAAAAAUCAAGUGAUUCAAGAUGAGGUGCAAAAACUUUUAAAAAUUGGGUCCAUCCGCGAGGUACAAUAUCCCAAUUGGUUAGCUAAUACUGUAGUAGUACCUAAAAAGAAUGGUAAGUGGCGAGUUUGUGGAGAUUAUAUUGACCUAAAUAAAGCUUGUCCUAAGGAUUAUUUCCACUACCACAUAUAGAUCAACUAAUUGAUGCUACUGCAGGACAUGAAUUGUUAAGUUUUUUAGAUGCAUAUUCAGGGUAUAAUUAGAUAAAAAUGGAUCCUAUAGAUGAGGAAAAAACUUCAUUUAUAACAGACAGGGGGACUUACUGUUACAAAGUAAUGUCAUUCGGUCUCAAGAAUGUUGGGGUCACAUAUCAAAGGUUGAUGACCAAAAUGUUUCAAGAACAUCUAGGGAAAACCAUGGAGGUCUAUAUAGAUGAUAUGUUGGUCAAGUCACAACAAGCAGGGGACCAUAUCAAACACUUGUUUGAUACAUUUUAGAUUCUUCAUAAAUUUAACAUGAAAUUAAACCCUGAGAAAUGUGUAUUUGGAGUCUCGUCAGGUAAGUUCUUAGGAUUUCUUGUUUCUAAAUGUGGCAUUGAAGUAAAUCCCGCACAGAUUAAAGCUAUUGAGGAAAUUCCUAAUACACUGACAAGUAAAAAAGAAGUACAGAGACUGACGGGAAUAAUAGCAGCUUUGGGAAGAUUUAUUUCCAAAUCAUCAAAAAAAUGCUCCAGGUUAUUUUCAGCCCUAAAAAAGUAGGAUCGGUUUGAAUGGUCUGAGGAAUGUCAACAAGCGCUUAAAAAUUUGAAAGUAUAUUUGUCAAAUCCACCAUUGCUUGCAAAACCAAAAUAUGGGGAAAAACUACUCAUCUACCUUGUCGUUUCAGAAGUAGCGGUAAGUGUUGUGUUAGUUCAUGAAGACCAAGGUAAAAAGUCUCCGAUUUAUUAUGUUAGCAAGUCAUUAUUAGAUGCUGAGACUCGGUAUCCUCAUCUAGAAAAACUUGCACUUGCAUUAGUUAUGGCAUCUAGGAAGUUAAGACCUUAUUUUCAAUGUCAUCCCGUCUCUGUAGUAACUGUCUAUCCCUUGCGUAAUAUAUUACAUAAACAAGAGUUAUCAGGUAGAUUAUCUUAAUGGGCCAUAGAACUAAGUGAAUAUGACAUUACGUAUCAACCUAGAACUACAAUAAAGUCGCAGGUGUUAGCAGAUUUUGUGGCAGAUUUUAGCCAAGGAAUACAACUAGAAGCAGAAAAAGAACUACAGGUAUUCAAUGGGUCUAAUCCAUGAACUUGGACCUUAUUUACUGAUGGUUCAUGAAAUGUGAAAGGGGUAGGUUUAGGUAUUGUUUUGAUACCACCCACAGGAGAAACCAUAUGACAAGCCAUAAAAUAUCACCCUAUAACUAACAAUGAAUAAGAAUAUGAAGUUGUGAUUGCAGAUGCAGCAAUACCUGGAAAAGGCACGUGAUUUGGUUAGGCAAUUUCAAACUUGGAAAGUCGUGCAGAUACCAAGAGAAGAAAAUGCCGAAACAGAUGCCCUGGCUAAUCUUGCAUCUGCUGCAGAAGUAACAAAUGACGAAAAUGCUUCUGUAAUUCAUUUAUUUCAUUCAGUACUUGAUCAAGAUAAAAACAAGGUAAAUUUCAAUAAUUUAACUUGGGAUUGGAGGAACAAGAUUGUCAAUUUUUGCACCAUGGAAUUUUACCCGAAAACAAGAAAAAGGCUCAAGCACUUUGCAAAAAAGCUUCUCAAUACUGUUUAAAGCAAGACAAUCUUUAUCGUAAAAUGUUCGGUGGUCCUCUAGCAAGAUACCUCGGGCCUUCUCAAACAGAGUAUGUGAUGAGAGAAAUACAUGAGGGACAGUGUGAAAAUCACGCGGGAGGAAGAUCUUUAGUAAAAACCAUGAUUAGAGCCGAUUAUUAUUGGCUAAAAAUGGAAGAAGACGCAGAACAUUUUGUGGCUAAAUAUGACAAGUGCCAAAGAUACGAUAACAACAUGCAUCGACCUGCUGAGUUAUUACAUUCGGUCAUUGCACCGUGACCUUUUAUGAAAUGGGGGAUGGAUAUUGUGGGUCCACUACCUCAAGCCAAAGGCAAGGUAAGAUUUUUGAUAGUACUCACUGAUUACUUUACUAAGUGGGUAGAAGCAGGAGCUUUUAAACAGGUAUGAGAAAAAGAGGUCAGAGAUUUCAUUUGGCGAAACGUCAUAUGGUGAUUCGGGGUACCAAAGGAAAUCGUAUGUGAUAAUGGCCUGCAAUUUAUAGGCACGCAAAUCAAUGAAUUCUUUCAAAGUUGGCAAACUAAAAGGAUUACUUCAACGCCUUACCAUCCGGUGGGUAAUGGACAAGCUGAAUCAAUAAAUAAAGUCAUUAUCAACAACUUGAAGAAAAGAUUGGAGGAAUCUAAAGGCAAUUGGCCAGAGGUGUUACCUGGGGUCUUGUGGGCUUAUCGAACAACCGCAAAAAUAAGUACGGGGGAAACACCGUUCUCACUUGUAUAUGGAGCUGAAGCCUUAAUUCCAGUGGAGAUAGGGGAACCAAGCACGAGAUAUACACAAGAUACUGAGGAAUCAAAUGAAGAAGAGAUGCGAGUAAACCUGGAUUUACUUGAAGAAAGGAGGGAAGCUGGUGCUCGAGAUUUCAUACUUCAAAGCUCAAACACUUGGGGGACUAUAUCACAUACAUAUGAUAUAUGUAUAAAGAAGGCUAAGAAGACUGAAAACAAUUAAAGUUCAAGUCAAACCCAAAAGUCUACUCAUCAAAUGUACCAAGUUCAGAGUAAAGUCACGAGCCAAUAACACGCCAAUCAAAAACCUAAGAAGGCAAAGAAGACUGAAAACUAUUAAAGUUCAAGUCAAGCCCAAAAGUCUACACAUCAAAUGUAUCAAGUUCAGAGCAAAGCCAUGAGCCAAUGACACAAGCCAAUCAAAAAACCUUCAUAUAGAUUUGAAAAUCUUAUGAUGUCUAGGUUAAAGGUAGUAUUUAGCCAUGGGUUAUAAAAAACCCUUGGAUUUUCUUUCCUUUGUUGCAAACCUGUUGUAAAGAAAAUAGUUACAGAAAAUUAAUAGAAGAUAUUUAAAUACAUGUAAGAUGUUAUUUAAACUUGACAAAGUUCAAAUAAAAACUUUACCAAAGUUAUUUCAAGAAACAUGUGUGUUCCUAUUUCAUUUUUUGUAUAUUUACACCAUUAUGAAGUUGAGACGUCUUCUUCAUUAAGUGUCAUAUAUAAAAGGGCCCUCUUUUAUAAUUUCAUGUUUGAUUCAAAGAUACAUGAAGUUAGCAAGGCAUUUUAUAAAAAAAAUGCAAAAAGGGUAAGACGAAAACCCACGUAUUAAAAAGCAAGACCUUGAAUUUAUAUAAUGAAACAACGCAAAACGAGUAAAAUAGAAACUCAAGAUAAUUAAGUUGAAACGAAAACUUUAUAAUAUUAAGUUUAGACUAAGUAAGAACUUAGUCAUAAACUGAUUGUCAUUUUUACAAAAUGCCCUGAAAAGGUCUGGGGACUUGUCAUUUCCAAAAUCUAAACCCCCAAAUGGGACCAGGGGUAAAACCACAUUCCACCAAGAAAAAAAAGAAGAAAGGGAGUCAAACUUCAUAAACGUUCACUGGGGAGCAGAAGAAGAGUCUAAACCAGCAUCAUCAGCAACGGAAGGCUCGAUUGGAUCUGAAGGAACUGGGACAUCCACAGUGCCUACAUUAGCUUCAAUAUGCUCAGGAGUAUCAGCCAUGGGAGAAGGAAAACUUUGAUCUUGCUGAGUUUUCUCAAUGGUUUCCUUUAUCUUAGCUAACUCGACAUCCAAAUUAAAACCUUCUUGGCUAACCACUACUAAAGUAUCGUGGCGUAUAUUUAAGAUAGCCCAACUCACUUCAAUGGCAGCUUUGUCCUCCAGAGCUUCAUAAUCCUUUUCCCAUUAGUCAAUCUCAUUUUUGAGUUCUUCCUUCUUGGCCAAAGAAGCAUCAUAAGAGGAUUGCAAAGGGGCAAGUGAAAUUUCCAAGAAUCUGACCUUAUCAGAAGACACUCGAAGAUCCUCUUGGGUUUUGGUGAGUAUCUGAACAAGUUCACAUUCAUAAACUUCUUUUUCAUUCAGUAAGGCCCUCAAUCCUCUAAUCUCUUCACUGGCUUUGGAGAGUUGUUCGGAAAAGGAUGUCUCAAGGAGAUUUUUAUCCUUGCCAGCCUGAUUGGAAGAAACCUUCUCAACUGCUAGCUCUGAUGUCAUGACUCUUAGCUGCUGCUCUGAGGUACACUUGCUUUCUUCUAGUACUUCCAUCUCAAGCUGAAGACUUUCGUAUUGCUCUUUCCAAUUGUCUACUUCAAUUUGAUAAUCAUGCAUUAAACUGCUCCGUAUGAGAAACCCUCUUCAUCAUCUCUUUGCCAAUAAGAUUGAUCUAAAAAAAGAAGAAAGGGGUAAGAACCUUAAUAAAAGAAGAAUGGAAUAAAGUGUAAAAAGAAGCAAAUACCUUCAGUGACGAUUGCACUAUAUCAUUCAUCCACCUCAAAGAACUAUGACUCUCGAGCUUGGACUUUUCGACUGGACCGAUCAAAGGUUUCAACCAUACGUCAGCCCGACCUGACUUUUUCAAAAGAUUACCAUCGGUAGGGACCUCAAUGGUAAUCUGCUUCAUCGCUCCACUUCCACUUCAAGAACCAACCUCAGUACGAGGAACGGUAGUAGUGGGAACUCUAGAGGAAGUCAUAAAAACUUGGGGCGGAGCAGAAACAGUAGCAGUAACAACUGGCAAAGAACGCACCACAGGGAUAGGUAUGGUAAAGGAAGCAAGGGGUACUUCAUCAUAAACUAAAUCUGAAUUCUCAUUAUUAAACCUACGAGAAAAAAGUUGAUCAUCAGAGUCACGAGCUGCCGCAGGAGUAUCAUCAUCAGAGCUUACCAAGGUGGCUUCAACAAGCUCGGUUAUAGGAACAGAAUGGGGAGGAUUUGCUUCAUCAUCUGAAAAGACGCAUUUUCUGGCCCGCGACCUUUUAACCAAGGAACUUCCAUCUUGUUCCUCCUCCUCCUCAAAAUCCUAGGUUGCAUCAGCCUUCCUUUUCGAUGAAGAACUCAAAAUUAUCUCUUGAGCUCUUUCCAAAGAAACUCGGGAAGCCGCAACUGCUUCAGCAUUUACACCACGUAUGGAAAACCCUGAUAAAAGAGGGUUCAAAUAAAUUUUAAGGGAAAGAUGAAUGAAAAUAUGAAAAGGAGGGGGGUAAGGCAUUUACCAUGAGUUUUAACCUUCCAAUCAAACCUGUGUGAAAGAUUUUUCCAAGAUCUACCUUCCAUCGGAACAACAAUCAGUAACUUCUCUACCCAACCAUAGAAAUUGGGAAGCUCGUCAAUAGUUCCCAUGGUUGCUAAAAAAAGAGAAAGUUAAAACAACUACGGGAAAAAUAAACCCUUUUCAAAUAAAAAAAAAGGGAAAAUUACAAAAGUAAAACUUACGUGCAAAAUUCCACUUUUCGGGGAAUGGUACAUUUUCUUCUCCUACUAAACCAACAGUAGGGCCAGCGACAAAUCUGGCAUACCAGCCCUGGUCCUUAUCGUCCUCAAGGCUAACUAGCAUUCUCUUACUUCUCGCCACUAAAGUGAAGAUCCCAUGACGGAAAAGCUUAGGGGAGUAAAGAUGGAUCAAAUGGAAAAAAGUAAAAGGAAAAUUAGUCAACCUUGUUAAGUGCCUUAAACAAGCAACAACCGUCCACACAAUGGGGCCAAUCUGUCCUAGACAAACGUUAAAAAAAGGACAGAACUCAAUGAUAACAGGAUCAAUGGGGGCUUUGAAAUUCAAUGUAAAGGGAUAUGUAUACACAAAAGAAAAUUCGGUCAUGUAAGAUGUAAUUCUUUGGUUUGCAUUAGGAAUUAUAAUAGGGAAGUCAGGUCUCCAAUGGAAAUCCCUACGAACAACAGAGAUUAAACCUUCGGUAAUUUGAGAAGGGUAAACGUCAGCACGAUCUAAAGAAGACAUAGAAGAAACUUGGUUUCUGAUCGAUUCUCUAUCAGUGUAAAAAGAUAGUUCAGAAGGGACAAUCUCAUCUACUAAAGGCUCACGAACUGGUUCAUUAGAAUCUUUACUUCUAGAUGAAGAUCUAUGUGAAAGAGAACCCCUAGUUCUAGAAGGAGGGGUAGAACUCACUAGAGGUAAAGAAACACCCCUUAUAGAUGAAGACCCUAAACUAUGUAAUCUUCCUCCUCUUCUACUUCAAACAGGAGCAAGAGAAAGUUCAUCAACAAUGGGGACUCUUCGAGGAUUAGGGUUUGAAGAAGACUUGACUGUACGAGGAAGAAGAAAACAAGAAUGAAUAUUGUAGACAUGUAAUUUUUUACCCUCCCCAAGAUUUUACACAUUUUAGCGUAAAUAUUUAGUUUAGGUUUAGUAUCGCUCUCUUUACUUUAUUUUAUCUAAAAAAACUACAAAAAUAUUUUCCCUUAUUCUAGCUAGUUGAUAUUUUGUCUAGUUAGUUUUUAUUUUUGAAAAAAAAAUACAAAAAUAGUCUUGGCAUUUUAUUUUGAGAAGUAUUUAAAUUUUAUUAAUAUAUUAAUUAUGUAACGACCUGACCGGUCGUUUUGAGAAAUUAAGCUCCGUUCAGCGGCAUAAGGUCUGGAACAGCUUCAGAAUAUGAGUAUCGACUUGCGUGCAUGGUAGAAUUCGGCUUUCGGAUGGUUUAGAGUCAAAUUGGAAGAAGGAAUCUAGUUUUGGAAGUUUGAACGGCGAAAAGUUGACCGGAAUUGGACUUUUGGGUAAACGAACCCGGAAUGGGUCAUGGAUGAUCUCAACAGCUUCGUGUGGUGAUUUUGGACUUAGGCGCGUGUCCUGAUUCAGAUUUGGAGGUCCGUAGAGUGAAUUGAGGCAUUUUGGCGAAAAUUGGAAAAGUUGAAGUUUGGGAAAUGAAGAAGUUUGACCCACAGUUGAAUUUUGUGAUACCGGGGUCGGAAUGCAAUUUCGAGAGUUAGAACAGCUCCGUCAUGUAAUUUUGGACUUGUUUGCAAAAUUUGGCGUCAUUCCGAGUUGAAUUGAUGGGUUUCGGCUUGAUAUUCGAUAUUUGAAGAUUUGGAAGUUCAUAAGCUUGAUUUUUGGUUUGAUUCGUCAUUUCGAUGUUGUUUUAUCUGAUUUGAAACUUCGAGCGAGUACGUGUUAGGUUAUACGACUUGUGUGUGUGAUUAGACGGGGUCCCGGGAGCCUCAGAUGGGCUAUGGAUCAUUUUUCUCCUAUUUUGAAUUGUUGUUGUUGCUGCUUCUGAUAUCCUUCUUCGCGAUCGCGAAUAUUCUCUCGCGAUCGCGAUGCCUUGUUGAAGACCACCCCAAAAUCCUUUAUCGCGUUCGCAUUUAACCUUCCGCGAUCACGAAGGUCUAUUUUUCUUUACUUCGCGAUCGCAUCUGCAGUCCCGCGUUCGCAUAGUGAGAAUUAGGAGUUGGGGCAGUUGACCACGUUUCCUCUUCGCGUUCGCAUGAGCCCCUCCGCGAUCGCGUAAGCCCCUACCCACUAUUCUUCGCGUUCGCAUCCUUAUUCACGCGAUCACAAUGUGCAAUCUGGGCAGCCUCGAAAUUUCUUCUACGCAAUCGCGACCCUUCUCCCGCGAUCGCGAUGAACAAAUGCCUGGGCAGACAGAAUAUAUCCCAAAUUCGAGGGUUUCACCAUUUUUGUCCUAUUUUGACUUCUAGAGCUUGGUUCUUAGCGAUUUUUGAAGGGAUUUUUACCUGGGAAACUUGGGUAGUGAUUCUCACUCGGUUUAGACUAAUUUCCAUGAAUCUCCUCUUAAUUCAUCCUUUAAUUUCGGAUUUUGAAUGAAAAUUUGAUAAAACUUCUUAGGCCGAAUUAUUGAGUUUUGAUUGGGUUUUGACAUCCGAUUUGGGAGAUUUUUAUAUGGUUAGACUCGUGAGAGUAUAAGGUUUUUGAAAAAUAUUAAUUUCACCCGAUUUCGAGAUGUUGGCCUGAGGGCCAUUUUUGUCAUUUUAUCUAAUUUCGCGUCUUAGCUUUGAAUUAAAUCAUAGAAUCAGUUGCUUGAGAAGUUAUUUACAAUAUGAAAUUGGAUUGAAUAGAUUUGGGCCAUUUGGAGUCGAGUACCCGUGGCAAGAACGUGGUUUCUAGUUGAUUUUGAGCCGGUUCGAGGUAAGUAUUUUACCUAACCUUGUGUGGGGGACUUCCCUUUAGGAUUUGAGUCUUCUCUGUUGAUUGUAUUCCUUGUACACGAGGUGACGAGUGCGUGCUCGGAUUUAUUUGCGGAAAUUGCCCUUUUUAGGUUCUUAGAUCCUUGUAAUCACUCAGUAUGAAGUUGUUCUUGAUAUGAUUGAAUUCCCUGUUAUUAGUUUCACCUCUACAUGUCCUACUUGGAAUUUAUUUGCCUUUUUGGUUUAUUCUUAUAGCCUAAUUGGCUCUUACUUGUUUAACUGAAGAUUUUUACCAUUUUUAUAGUCACGUUAUCUUUCAUAACUGCUUGUCUUUAUUUGGAAAUCAUUAUUAUCUCUCGUGUGAUUAAUUGGUCUUAAUUGAGAUUUCGAUUUUUUCAUUCCCCCGGUUCAUCCUUAAUUGAAAUCGUUGUAUAUUCUUCGUAACUUGCCCAACUCGAAAAGAAGUUAGAUAUUCUAUGUUUAGUUAGCAUCCCCCUAUUUGAAAUUAUUUGAUUUGUGUUAACUUCCUUGUUGUUCAACUACAUAUUAUGGAAUCGUGUCUUCAUAUUAUUUCUCCCUUGUUGAGUUGUUCUUAUUACGCGUAGUAUUCUCUGUUGCGAUUAUUUCUUGUGAGUUAGUUUUACCGUCCCCUAGUAAACGGGAGUUCUUGAGUUGAUUCCCUUGCUGUGUUCUUGUAAAUAUUGUCAUUUGUUGUGUUGUACUUGUGAUGGUGGUGCACGAGAUUUCUGUCGUGCGGUUAUUGAUAUUGUGAUGCACGAGGUUUCUGCCAUGCGGUUGUUGUUGAGGGGUUGCACGAGGUCUUUGCCAUGCUAUUAUUGCUAUUGAUGUAUUGCAUAUGUGGCGUAAUAAGGUGGGAUAUGUUUAUAUCCUUAUAUGUGGGUUGCGCAUGUGGCAAAAUAAGGUGAAAACAUUAUGAUACACGUGUGGUGAAAUAAGGCGACACUUAUUAUAAUAUUAUUUGCACACGUGGCGAAACACGAUGGGCUAUGUCAGGGAUUGAUUGUAAAGAAUUGUGACAGCCUCUGGAGGCAUUCCUAUUUUGUUUAAAUAUUGUGAUUGUGGGUUGCUUACCUGUAUGAGCCUUAUCGCAUGGAAGUUGUGAGGAAACAUCGUAUGUGCUACCCGUUCUUCUUCUUACAUUUAUUUAGCUGGUAGCAAUCUUGUUCAAGCACUUGCACAAGCAUACACGUAGUUGCACACUCCUAUUAGAUGUAAAGUCCUCCUGAUUUUGCUAAGGGUAGAGGUACAUCCUCGUUUAAUCAUUAUAUAUGUGAGAGUGGCCCUAGUUAGCUAGUUAGUUGUCAGCAUGACUGUGAGACUGAUGGGGGAACAGGAUGCCAAGUGUUAGAUUUCAGAUGCUGGGGUUCGUGAGUUGGGGUUUGUCCGAGAUUCGGUAAACUAGUGGAAAUAGUUGAAUAAGACCUUAUGUGAACAUUAUCGUAGGAUAUGAGUUAUUGUUUUGUUUUCCCCUUGCUGUGUUGUGAUCUUAGGACGUGGAUUGUGUUUUUUUGGCCGUCAUUAUGUAUCCUCAUUUCUUGUAUUCUCGUUAUUAAUUGUUGUUCUUUUCUCUCAUUGUGAUUGUAGUAUUAUUGGUCAUUUAGUGUAGUCUUUACAUAAAUAUAUAUCUUUUUCGUUGUUCCUAUAAUUAUACUGAUUAUUUGACCGGUAGGUGUCUUGACGGUUUUCUCGUCACUACUCCAUCGAGGUUAGUCUUGAUACUUACUGGGCACCGCUGUGGUGUGUUCAUGCUACUCUUCUGUACAUUUUUGUUGUGCAGAUACAGGUACUCCCACUCAGUUCUGUCAGCCUUGGAAGGAGGCGUUUCGGUAGAGACUUCGAGGUAUAUCUGCUACAUCCGUAGACCGAUGAGUCCCUUUCCAGCUUUCUGUAAUAAGUAUAGCUCUUUCAGUAUUUUUCCUUUGUAUAGACAUUCUUGAAUCAGAGCCUCUUAUGUAUCCCUUAGCUUGUGAUUUGUGAGAUUCCGGGUUUUGGGAAGUUUGCUAGCUUCGAGAGUUGUUAUUGUAUGUGCCGAGCGGCACCUUAAAUACUAUUUAUUUUACUAGUUCAGUUUUAAUUAUUUUUUUAGCAAUUAUGGUUUAUCUUCCGCAUAAUUAGGCUUAUCUAGUCGCAGGGACUAGGUGCCAUCACGACAUGUUCACGGAGGGCGAACUGCGGUCGUGACAAAUUAUAUGUCUUCUCUAAAUAUUUUUAUUAUCUUAAAUAUACUAGUAUCUUUAUAAAGCUAUUUUAAUUCAUCUUUAGAAUAAAAUAAAAAAAAUGAAAAAAAAUAUAAAAAAAGAAAGAACAAACAAACAAAUCAACAUAAACAAAAAGAACAAAGGAAGAAGAAAGGGAAAACAGAGAACAAAAGGGGAAAAAAAAACGUGAAAAGUAAAAGAAAAUCAAAGAAGUUUCCUCCCCAUCACGUGUCCCUUUCCUCUAUUCUUGCAUUUGUUAUUAAAUUUUGAUUACCUCUUCUCCAAUAGGAUAUUGCCACCUCACCUUCCCAAAUAUUCCCUCUAACAAACCUUAUCAAUUUGCCUGCAAGAGGAUUCGCGUACACUGCAUUCUUUGAGAGGGGCCCACGUGGCUUUUGGAUUGAAUUUUUCUUUUUUCCCAAGAUUUUUUUUCAUACAUAAAGAUACACAGUCACACCUACAGAGAAUAGAGAGACGGAGUGUGGGACUGGAAACGAAAAAGGGAGGGAGAACGAAAAACAAAAGAGGCCCUCUCUGAAACGAGCAGCCAAAAAACCUCAUUUUGAGAUCAACACCAAUGGCCUCCUUCAUCAAAAACUUCAAUAGCAACCUUCCCUUUCUAAGUUCCUCCAGCGCCGUAACUUCUUCUUCCACCCAACUUAGCUUCUUUUUCCUCCAUCCCAGAAAAUACAGCAACUUCACCACCUUCAAACCACCAAUAAAACUCCAUUUCUGUCCAAGAGAGUAACCUAAAAACUCCAUGAAAACUAGCUAAGAUUCCAGCUCAAACACCAUACCCGAACAACCUCCUAAAAACGCAGCAAAACUAGUUACAAAUAGCCCACAAAGCCAGUUGAAAAGCAGUUGCAAAAUCAGCGAAAACACUUGAAAUAAUUCCCAAAAAAUGCAGUUGCGUCACACCUUGAAACAGUCCGGAUUUUCAGCCAGAAACGCAUACAAAAUCAGCUUGAGAAACCCCACGAAAACAACCCUCUCUCAUGCCUAUCAGCGUCGAGUUCGAGUUCCCCAAUGAGGUUUCCGGUCGUGAGUCUGUCGCGGUUUGUAGCUGUUUUUCAAACUUCUAUGGAGUUCCUCUAUUAUGUUAAAGAUGGUUUUACAUUAAUGAAGGUCUAGUUCUCCCUCCUCACUAUUUUAUUCUUUGUAUAUUUUGUUAGUACAUGGUUUUUUUUUGUUGAAAGCAUGUUAAUUGUAGUAGUUUUAUUUUCAUUUACUGUUGCCUGUAUCUAAACAGUAAUAGUUAGUAAAAAUUACCACCUGAUUUUGCUAGAGAAAGAGAUAGCGAGAGACUAGACAUUGUCAAAACCGAAUCAAAAAAAUAGUUUACUACUCAAUUUUUCCGGAGGUUGGCUGAGUGAUUAAGCAAAGAAUGAUUAGUCUAAGCCUAAUAUGCGUAUUUGAUGUCAGACUUACAAACUUGAUCAUUCACACAAUUUCACUUGUAGUGGUAAAUGUUGGUGAUAGCAGAUUCCAACUUAUUUUGUUACUGAGGUAUAUUUGCUAAUUUUAGUCCUUAAAAUAUAUAUAUAGCAUAAAGACUGUCACAUAGUGGUGCUGUGCAAUUAAACAUAGUGGAGUAAGUGUACACUUUACGAAAUUCCGGUGACCCGACAAGGAAAAAAUGAAGAGACA
rnacentral:lncRNA from 1 species